ACUCCAGCCUGGUGACAGAACAAGACUCCAUCUCAAAAAAAAAAAAAAAGAAAAGAAAAGAAAAGAAAAAGAAGAAAGAAAAGAAAAGGCAUAUCUGCCAGCCAAGAAUCAGUUUUCAGCUUAAAACACAAUAAUACAGACCAAAUUUAGCUCCUGUUCCCUGAACCAGUGGCAAAAGCAGCUAGUGCAUGUGCCCAGAAAACCACAUGCAGCAUGUUUACUUCACUAUCCCACUCUGUGCUGAUUUACUGGUUCUACACGUUAGGAUUACAGAUCCUUAUAGGAAUAGCUUCUUCACUUUAAUGAUUUCUUAAGAAAAAAAUAAAACAAGAUCUAGAUCGUAGACUCCCAUCAAAGAGCUUACUGGGAGAAACAGCUGUAUUAUGAAUUAUGAACAUUAUAGGGGCAUCCAACAAGGGGAAAAAUUAAACUAUUAUCUCGUUACUUUGAUAAAUUAAAAUUGCCAGGCCUAGGCAAAGAUCUGACUGGACAGAGUGAAUUUUGGAGUGAAAUUUUAUGGUUAUGUCUUUUAAAAGCCAUGUAAAUCAGCAAGCGUAAAGCUGACAGGACCUUGCAGGCUUCAGCAAGAACACACUGUCCCUCUCAUUUAUUUAAAAGAAUGCUGCCCUGCUCAAAGGCCUGCAGUGAGCCAUGCCAAUGUGGUUUGGCUGGACUGUGAGUGUUUGAUGCAGUCUGAUGUGAGGGUGGGGGUGGCGCGGAGAACGUUGAAAUCAAAAAGGAUUCUGCUCUGUAGAGACAAAGGAGCCACCGAGACGUAGACGUGGAUCUGGGAAAUACACCUUUUGCUACUCGUUCAGUUUUAGAAAGGGGGUUUCUGGCAUGGCUGAGCAAAACUUAAACUUCUUCCCCUGAGAAUUACAGGAAUUACAGGACCUGACAAAGCUCUAAAGAUUAAAACCUAUAGGAAGAAAAUCUGAACCAGAAAUAAUACGGCAGACUUGGGAUCUGACUUAUAGAGGGAAGAACUUAUCAUUCUUCACGGGGCACAUAGAAGCAUGAGAAUUUGGGUUCAAGCAAGUAAAUUCUAAAUUAGAACCCAUACAUAAAGUGUUUGCAAUGUCCAGUUAUAUCUCUAUGAUAUUUUUCUUUGUGAAAAUUGAUUGUUCUUCUUUACAAUAAAUUGCUUGAAUUAUCUGUCUCUUCAUUUAGCUAUUUCUUUUUCUUGUCUUUGGUAUCUUUUUUUUUUUUGGUAAGUAAAAAAUUUUCAG